CGUCGUCGUCGUCGUCGUCGCAGCCAUGGUCACGAUAGCACUGCGCUGGAAGACGACCAGGAAACGGGAGAGAGAGACAGCGACGAGCUCCUUCAAAAGUUGUUACAAAUUGAGGAUGACAACGAUGACGACGAGAAUGAGGAUGAGGAUGAGGAAGAGGAUGAUGACGAAUGAA